GGGUUGUGAGGUUAAGCGACUAAGCGUACACGGUGGAUGCCCUGGCAGUCAGAGGCGAUGAAGGACGUGCUAAUCUGCGAUAAGCGUCGGUAAGGUGAUAUGAACCGUUAUAACCGGCGAUUUCCGAAUGGGGAAACCCAGUGUGUUUCGACACACUAUCAUUAACUGAAUCCAUAGGUUAAUGAGGCGAACCGGGGGAACUGAAACAUCUAAGUACCCCGAGGAAAAGAAAUCAACCGAGAUUCCCCCAGUAGCGGCGAGCGAACGGGGAGCAGCCCAGAGCCUGAAUCAGUGUGUGUGUUAGUGGAAGCGUCUGGAAAGGCGCGCGAUACAGGGUGACAGCCCCGUACACAAAAAUGCACAUACUGUGAGCUCGAUGAGUAGGGCGGGACACGUGGUAUCCUGUCUGAAUAUGGGGGGACCAUCCUCCAAGGCUAAAUACUCCUGACUGACCGAUAGUGAACCAGUACCGUGAGGGAAAGGCGAAAAGAACCCCGGCGAGGGGAGUGAAAAAGAACCUGAAACCGUGUACGUACAAGCAGUGGGAGCACGCUUAGGCGUGUGACUGCGUACCUUUUGUAUAAUGGGUCAGCGACUUAUAUUCUGUAGCAAGGUUAACCGAAUAGGGGAGCCGAAGGGAAACCGAGUCUUAACUGGGCGUUAAGUUGCAGGGUAUAGACCCGAAACCCGGUGAUCUAGCCAUGGGCAGGUUGAAGGUUGGGUAACACUAACUGGAGGACCGAACCGACUAAUGUUGAAAAAUUAGCGGAUGACUUGUGGCUGGGGGUGAAAGGCCAAUCAAACCGGGAGAUAGCUGGUUCUCCCCGAAAGCUAUUUAGGUAGCGCCUCGUGAAUUCAUCUCCGGGGGUAGAGCACUGUUUCGGCAAGGGGGUCAUCCCGACUUACCAACCCGAUGCAAACUGCGAAUACCGGAGAAUGUUAUCACGGGAGACACACGGCGGGUGCUAACGUCCGUCGUGAAGAGGGAAACAACCCAGACCGCCAGCUAAGGUCCCAAAGUCAUGGUUAAGUGGGAAACGAUGUGGGAAGGCCCAGACAGCCAGGAUGUUGGCUUAGAAGCAGCCAUCAUUUAAAGAAAGCGUAAUAGCUCACUGGUCGAGUCGGCCUGCGCGGAAGAUGUAACGGGGCUAAACCAUGCACCGAAGCUGCGGCAGCGACACUAUGUGUUGUUGGGUAGGGGAGCGUUCUGUAAGCCUGUGAAGGUGUGCUGUGAGGUAUGCUGGAGGUAUCAGAAGUGCGAAUGCUGACAUAAGUAACGAUAAAGCGGGUGAAAAGCCCGCUCGCCGGAAGACCAAGGGUUCCUGUCCAACGUUAAUCGGGGCAGGGUGAGUCGACCCCUAAGGCGAGGCCGAAAGGCGUAGUCGAUGGGAAACAGGUUAAUAUUCCUGUACUUGGUGUUACUGCGAAGGGGGACGGAGAAGGCUAUGUUGGCCGGGCGACGGUUGUCCCGGUUUAAGCGUGUAGGCUGGUUUUCCAGGCAAAUCCGGAAAAUCAAGGCUGAGGCGUGAUGACGAGGCACUACGGUGCUGAAGCAACAAAUGCCCUGCUUCCAGGAAAAGCCUCUAAGCAUCAGGUAACAUCAAAUCGUACCCCAAACCGACACAGGUGGUCAGGUAGAGAAUACCAAGGCGCUUGAGAGAACUCGGGUGAAGGAACUAGGCAAAAUGGUGCCGUAACUUCGGGAGAAGGCACGCUGAUAUGUAGGUGAAGUCCCUCGCGGAUGGAGCUGAAAUCAGUCGAAGAUACCAGCUGGCUGCAACUGUUUAUUAAAAACACAGCACUGUGCAAACACGAAAGUGGACGUAUACGGUGUGACGCCUGCCCGGUGCCGGAAGGUUAAUUGAUGGGGUCAGCGCAAGCGAAGCUCUUGAUCGAAGCCCCGGUAAACGGCGGCCGUAACUAUAACGGUCCUAAGGUAGCGAAAUUCCUUGUCGGGUAAGUUCCGACCUGCACGAAUGGCGUAAUGAUGGCCAGGCUGUCUCCACCCGAGACUCAGUGAAAUUGAACUCGCUGUGAAGAUGCAGUGUACCCGCGGCAAGACGGAAAGACCCCGUGAACCUUUACUAUAGCUUGACACUGAACAUUGAGCCUUGAUGUGUAGGAUAGGUGGGAGGCUUUGAAGUGUGGACGCCAGUCUGCAUGGAGCCGACCUUGAAAUACCACCCUUUAAUGUUUGAUGUUCUAACGUUGACCCGUAAUCCGGGUUGCGGACAGUGUCUGGUGGGUAGUUUGACUGGGGCGGUCUCCUCCUAAAGAGUAACGGAGGAGCACGAAGGUUGGCUAAUCCUGGUCGGACAUCAGGAGGUUAGUGCAAUGGCAUAAGCCAGCUUGACUGCGAGCGUGACGGCGCGAGCAGGUGCGAAAGCAGGUCAUAGUGAUCCGGUGGUUCUGAAUGGAAGGGCCAUCGCUCAACGGAUAAAAGGUACUCCGGGGAUAACAGGCUGAUACCGCCCAAGAGUUCAUAUCGACGGCGGUGUUUGGCACCUCGAUGUCGGCUCAUCACAUCCUGGGGCUGAAGUAGGUCCCAAGGGUAUGGCUGUUCGCCAUUUAAAGUGGUACGCGAGCUGGGUUUAGAACGUCGUGAGACAGUUCGGUCCCUAUCUGCCGUGGGCGCUGGAGAACUGAGGGGGGCUGCUCCUAGUACGAGAGGACCGGAGUGGACGCAUCACUGGUGUUCGGGUUGUCAUGCCAAUGGCACUGCCCGGUAGCUAAAUGCGGAAGAGAUAAGUGCUGAAAGCAUCUAAGCACGAAACUUGCCCCGAGAUGAGUUCUCCCUGACCCUUUAAGGGUCCUGAAGGAACGUUGAAGACGACGACGUUGAUAGGCCGGGUGUGUAAGCGCAGCGAUGCGUUGAGCUAACCGGUACUAAUGAACCGUGAGGCUUAACCUUACAACGCCGAAGGUGUUU
rnacentral:rRNA from 1 species